rnacentral:ncRNA from 1 species
CUAACAUGUAUGCGAGUGUUUGGGUGUCAAGCCCGAGCGCGCAAUAAAAGUGAACGGAGGUGGGAUCCCUUGCGGGUGCACCAUCGACCGAUCCUGAGGUCUUUGGGUGGAUUUGAGUAAGAGCAUGGCUGUUGGGACCCGGAAGAUGGUGAGCUAUGCUAGACUAGGGUGAAGCCAGAGGAAACUCUGGUGGAGGCUCGCAGCGGUUCCGACGUGCAAAUCGAUUAGACUAAUCAACUGUCACAGUCAGCAAAUCUGCGUAUAGCUGA